rnacentral:rRNA from 1 species
GAGUUUGAUCCUGGCUCAGGAUGAACGCUGGCGGCGUGCCUAACACAUGCAAGUCGAACGAAGCGUGCGGAUGGAAUUUCUUCGGAGAGGAAGCCUGCAUGACUGAGUGGCGGACGGGUGAGUAACGCGUGGGCAACCUGCCCUGCACAGGGGGACAACAGCCGGAAACGGCUGCUAAUACCGCAUAAGCGCACAGCUUCGCAUGGAGCGGUGUGAAAAGCUGCGGCGGUGCAGGAUGGGCCCGCGUCUGAUUAGCUGGUUGGCGGGGCAACGGCCCACCAAGGCGACGAUCAGUAGCCGGCCUGAGAGGGUGGACGGCCACAUUGGGACUGAGACACGGCCCAGACUCCUACGGGAGGCAGCAGUGGGGAAUAUUGCACAAUGGGGGAAACCCUGAUGCAGCGACGCCGCGUGAGCGAAGAAGUAUUUCGGUAUGUAAAGCUCUAUCAGCAGGGAAGAAAUUGACGGUACCUGAGUAAGAAGCUCCGGCUAAAUACGUGCCAGCGGCCGCGGUAAUACGUAGGGGGCAAGCGUUAUCCGGAUUUACUGGGUGUAAAGGGAGCGUAGACGGUUACGCAAGUCUGGAGUGAAAGGCGGGGGCCCAACCCCCGGACUGCUUUGGAAACUGUAUAACUGGAGUGCAGGAGAGGUAAGUGGAAUUCCUAGUGUAGCGGUGAAAUGCG